rnacentral:rRNA from 1 species
UACGUAGGGGGUAAGCGUUGUCCGGAUUUAUUGGGCGUAAAGAGCGUGUAGGCGGCCAAACAGGUCAGCUGUGAAAACUCGAGGCUCAACCUCGAGACGUCGGUUGAAACCGUUUGGCUAGAGUCCGGAAGAGGAGAGUGGAAUUCCCGGUGUAGCGGUGAAAUGCGCAGAUAUCGGGAAGAACACCGAUGGCGAAGGCAGCUCUCUGGGACGGUACUGACGCUGAGACGCGAAAGCGUGGGGAGCGAACAGG